GGGGAAUCUUGCACAAUGGAGGAAACUCUGAUGCAGCGACGCCGCGUGAGCGGAGAAGCCUUUCGGGGUGUAAAGCUCUUACGCCAGGGACGAUAAUGACGGUACCUGGAGAAGCAGCUGCGGCUAACUACGUGCCAGCAGCCGCGGUAAUACGUAGGCAGCAAGCGUUGUUCGGAAUUACUGGGCGUAAAGGGUGCGUAGGCGGCGCUCUAAGUUCGGUGUGAAAUCUCCCGGCUUAACUGGGAGGGUGCACUGAAAACUGGGGCGCUCGAGUAUGGGAGAGGAAAGCGGAAUUCCUGGUGUAGCGGUGAAAUGCGUAGAGAUCAGGAGGAACACCUGCGGUGCAGACGGCUUUCUGGACCAUCACUGACGCUGAGGCACGAAAGCGUGGGUAGCAAACA
rnacentral:rRNA from 1 species